AGUGAACGCUGGCGGUAGGCCUAACACAUGCAAGUCGAACGGCAGCACAGUAAGAGCUUGCUCUUACGGGUGGCGAGUGGCGGACGGGUGAGGAAUACAUCGGACUCUACUUUUUCGUGGGGGAUAACGUAGGGAAACUUACGAUAAUACCGCAUACGACCUACGGGUGAAAGCAGGGGAUCUUCGGACCUUGCGCGAUUGAAUGAGCCGAUGUGGUAUUAGCUAGUUGGGGGGGUAAAGGCCCACCAAGGCGACGAUCCGUAGCUGGUCUGAGAGGGUGAUCGGCGACACGGGAAGUGAGACACGGACCAGACUCCUGCGGGAGGCAGCAGUGUGGAAUAUUGGACAAUGGGGGGGAGCCUGAUCCAGCCAUACCGCGUGGGUGAAGAAGGCCUUGGGGUUGUAAAGCCCUUUUUUUGGGAAAGAAAAGCAGCAGGUUAAGACCCCGCUGUUCUGACGGUACCCAAAGAAUAAGCACCGGCUAACUUCGUG
rnacentral:rRNA from 1 species